CCAAAAGGCCCGAGUUCGUGGGAGGGCCCACC
rnacentral:misc_RNA from 1 species